CAAAUACUCCCUCCGUCUGGAAAUACUUCUCAUCAAAAUGGAUAAAAGGAAAUGUAUCUAGACAUAUUUUAGUUUUAGAUACAUAUCUUUUUAUCCAUUUUGAUGACAAGUAUUUUCGGACGGAGGGAGUAGAAA
rnacentral:pre_miRNA from 1 species